UACGGAGGGGGCUAGCGUUGUUCGGAAUUACUGGGCGUAAAGCGCACGUAGGCGGCUUUGCAAGUCAGAGGUGAAAGCCCGGGGCUCAACCCCGGAAUUGCCUUUGAGACUGCAUCGCUAGAAUUGUGGAGAGGUAAGUGGAAUUCCGAGUGUAGAGGUGAAAUUCGUAGAUAUUGGGAAGAACACCGGUGGCGAAGGCGGCUCUCUGGACCGAGACUGACGCUGAGGCGCGAAAGCGUGGGGAGCAAACAGG
rnacentral:rRNA from 1 species